GCCCCGCUUGCGGGGUGGAUCAGUGGCGAACGGGUGAGUAACACGUGAGCAACCUGCCCCGGACUCUGGGAUAAGCGCUGGAAACGGCGUCUAAUACUGGAUACGAGCCGUGAAGGCAUCUUCAACGGUUGGAAAGAUUUUUCGGUCUGGGAUGGGCUCGCGGCCUAUCAGCUUGUUGGUGAGGUAAUGGCUCACCAAGGCGUCGACGGGUAGCCGGCCUGAGAGGGUGACCGGCCACACUGGGACUGAGACACGGCCCAGACUCCUACGGGAGGCAGCAGUGGGGAAUAUUGCACAAUGGGCGGAAGCCUGAUGCAGCAACGCCGCGUGAGGGAUGACGGCCUUCGGGUUGUAAACCUCUUUUAGCAAGGAAGAAGCGAAAGUGACGGUACUUGCAGAAAAAGCGCCGGCUAACUACGUGCCAGCAGCCGCGGUAAUACGUAGGGCGCAAGCGUUAUCCGGAAUUAUUGGGCGUAAAGAGCUCGUAGGCGGUCUGUCGCGUCUGCUGUGAAAACCCGAGGCUCAACCUCGGGCCUGCAGUGGGUACGGGCAGACUAGAGUGCGGUAGGGGAGAUUGGAAUUCCUGGUGUAGCGGUGGAAUGCGCAGAUAUCAGGAGGAACACCGAUGGCGAAGGCAGAUCUCUGGGCCGUAACUGACGCUGAGGAGCG
rnacentral:rRNA from 1 species